rnacentral:rRNA from 1 species
GACAGAGGGGGCAAGCGUUGCUCGGAAUUACUGGGCGUAAAGGGCGCGUAGGCGGGAUGGCAAGUCGGUCGUGAAAUCCCUCGGCUCAACCGAGGAACGUCGAUCGAUACUGCUGUUCUUGAGGAUUGCAGAGGAGACUGGAAUUCCCGGUGUAGCGGUUAAAUGUGUAGAGAUCGGGAGGAACACCGGCGGCGAAGGCGGGUCUCUGGGCAAUUCCUGACGCUGAGGCGCGAAAGCGUGGGGAGCAAACGGG